UACGUAGGGGGCGAGCGUUGUCCGGAUUUACUGGGCGUAAAGGGUGAGUAGGCGGUUGUAUAUGUCAGAUGUAAAAGGCACAGGCUUAACUUGUGUAAGCAUUUGAAACUGUACAACUUGAGUGCAGGAGAGGUAAGUGGAAUUCCUAGUGUAGCGGUGAAAUGCGUAGAUAUUAGGAGGAACACCAGUGGCGAAGGCGACUUACUGGACUGUAACUGACGCUGAGUCACGAAAGCGUGGGUAGCAAACAGGAUUAGAUACCCUGGUAGUCCACGCUGUAAACGAUGAGUGCUAGGUGUUGGCUAGCGAUAGUCAGUGCCGAAGUAAACACAAUAAGCACUCCGCCUGGGGAGUACGGUCGCAAGACUGAA
rnacentral:rRNA from 1 species